rnacentral:lncRNA from 10 species
GCUGGAGUGUAGCAGUGCAGUCACAGCUCACUGCAGCCUCGCACUCCUGGGCUCAAGUGAGCCUCCUGCCUCAGCCUCCUGAGUAGCUGGAACUAUAGGCACAACCACCUUGCCUGGCUAAUUAAAAAAAAAAUUUUUUUUUUAAAGAGUCAGGGUCUUGCUAUAUUGGCCAAGCUGAUCUCAAAUUCCUGACCUCAAGUGAUUCUCCCACCUCAGCCUCCCAAAGUGUUGGGAUUCCAGGCAUGAGCCACCAUGCACCAGGUCUGGCCUACAGCUUUUAACUACACAUUUAGAAAGAGAAACCACAAGUGGUAAAAGCCUGGGUUCUGCCCUAGAUUACCCGAAAUGAGCUAUUUUUAUAGAAGCCUCCUGUGUGCAGGGGCUCAUGCUAGGCCCCAAGGGCAGGCAGAGGUUGUUUUUUGUUUUUUGUUUUUUAAUUUGUUUCUUUUUGAGACAGGGUCUCACUCUGUCGCCCAGGCUGGAUGCUGUGGUGCAAUCUCAGACCUGCAACCUCUGUCUCCCAGGUUCAAGGAAUUCUCCUGCCUUGGCCUCCGGAGUAGCUAGGACAACAGGCACGCACCACCACGCCCAGCUAAUUUUUGAUGGUGGGCCCUGAGAGAAAUGAAUCUUGGCCUCCAAGUGUUCAGACUGUGUGGGGGACACCUGCUAUUUACAUUUGUGAAAUGGGGCUGG